AGCAGGAUCCCGGUUGGACCGGGAGCAGGCACAGGGAAGGGGCCACGGAGGGGGGAUCGGCCCUGCCGAGCUCCAGCAUCGCCGCAUCUCCUGCAGGUCCAGGCGCGCUCCCCCCGCGGCACCGGGCCAAGGAAAACACCGGCAACCCUAUCCCGUCCCGUGGCACGGGGGCCACUCUUCAUCGUGGGGACGGAGCCGGGGGCCCCGGGCCCAGGGCCGAGACUCAUUCCCGGCCGCACGGCGCUGGAGCCGGGGACCCCGGGCCGAGGACCGAGGCUCGUUCCCGGCCGCACGGCGCUGGAGCCGGGGACCCCGGGCCGAGGACCGAGGCUCGUUCCCGGCCGCACGGCGCUGGUGCCGGGGACCCCGGGCCGAGGACCGAGGCUCGUUCCCGGCCGCACGGCGCUGGUGCCGGGGACCCCGGGCCGAGGACCGAGGCUCGUUCCCGGCCGCACGGCGCUGGUGCCGGGGACUCCGGGCCGAGGACCGAGGCUCGUUCCCGGCCGCACGGCGCUGGUGCCGGGGACUCCGGGCCGAGGACCGAGGCUCGUUCCCGGCCGCACGGCGCUGGUGCCGGGGACCCCGGGCCGAGGACCGAGGCUCGUUCCCGGCCGCACGGCGCUGGUGCCGGGGACCCCGGGCCGAGGACCGAGGCUCGUUCCCGGCCGCACGGCGCUGGUGCCGGGGACUCCGGGCCGAGGACCGAGGCUCGUUCCCGGCCGCACGGCGCUGGUGCCGGGGACUCCGGGCCGAGGACCGAGGCUCGUUCCCGGCCGCACGGCGAUGGUGCCGGGGACCCCGGGCCGAGGGCCGAGACUCGUUCCCGGCCGCACGGCGAUGGUGCUGGGGACCCCGGGCCGAGGGCCGAGACUCGUUCCCGGCCGCAUGGGGCUGGUGCCGGGGGCUCCGAGCCGAGGACCGAGGCUCGUUCCCGGCCGCACGGCGCUGGUGCUGGGGGCUCCGAGCCGAGGACCGAGACUCGUUCCCGGCCGCACGGCGCUGGUGCUGGGGGCCGUGCUGCUGGCGGCGGGCGCUGCCCUGGCCCGGGCCGUGCCCCCGGCCGUGCCCGCGCCCCGGGAGCUGGCGCGCUCCGUGCUGGAGACGCACGGGCAGGAGCUGCGGCUGCUGCGGCUGCUGGGGGUCGCCAGGACGAGCUUCGACUGGGGGACCCACUUCAGCAUCAACUUCACGGCCCGGCAGCCGCCCUGCCCCAAGCCCGCCCCGGACCCCCGCGGCUGCCGGGGCCGCCCGGGCAGGGUGCAGCGCUGCUCGGCCCAGGUGUCCGUGUUCACCUUCCUGCCCGACGUGCCGCUGUCGAUGGUGGAGUGCGGCCGGGAGCCGCCGCCCGGUGACAACGCCCAGCCCCGCUCCCCCGGCACCAACCCAGGUCACUCCUCUUCAUCCUCCUCAUCCUCAUCCUCCUCAUCAUCCUCGGGGCCCCCCCCGCGGGCUCGGCCCCCUCCCGGCGCGUCCCUGCGGGGACCAUCCCGCCGCCCCCUGUCCCUAGCGGAGCCGGAAUAA
rnacentral:lncRNA from 1 species